UGUAGCUUAUUUUUAUCUCCUAAAUAUGUUUUUAGAAGUUUAGAAAACCGGUUUUUUGGGAGUCUUUUUUUAAGAUACUGUUAGAGAUGUUUACGACAUCGAUUAAGUAUCAUUAAAUUUGUUAUAUAAUGUAUUUUCAUAGCGCAUCCAUUUAGUGUCAUAAAUGUUACCAUAUUAUAUAUCUGGUAAAAUUUUAGUUAAUUUGACUUGGGAUUCAACUAGAAUUACUUUUUUUUUCGAACAGCGAAAGUACCGACCAAAAUCUGCAACUACGUCAAAGAAAAACAGGGAUCGACAACAAAUAGACAUGAUCUGUUAUUUUUGCCUAAAUUAAG
rnacentral:lncRNA from 1 species